rnacentral:rRNA from 1 species
UACGAAGUGGGCUAGCGUUGCUCGGAAUCACUGGGCGUAAAGGGUGCGUAGGCGGGGCUUUAAGGCAGGGGUGAAAUCCUGGAGCUCAACUCCAGAACUGCCUUUGAUACUGAAGAUCUUGAGUUCGGGAGAGGUGAGUGGAACUGCGAGUGUAGAGGUGAAAUUCGUAGAUAUUCGCAAGAACACCAGUGGCGAAGGCGGCUCACUGGCCCGAUACUGACGCUGAGGCACGAAAGCGUGGGGAGCAAACAGG